GCCGGCGUGGUCGAGUGGUUAUGCUGCACGCGCGUUUUGAAAACGUUUUUUUCUCAUGGACAUGGGUUCGAACCCCGUCGGCGGCA
rnacentral:tRNA from 1 species